GUCCACGCCGUAAACUAUGAGUGCUAGGUGUUGGGUUUUCAGUUUACUGAGACUCGGUGCCGUAGCUAACGCGUUAAGCGCUCCGCCUGAGGAGUACGGUCGCAAGGCUGAAACUUAAAGGAAUUGACGGGGGCCCGCACAAGCGGUGGAGCAUGUGGUUUAAUUCGAUGUUAACCGACGAACCUUACCAACUCUUGACAUUGCAGGUUAAGUCGCGCCAGAGAUGGGCGAUGUGGGCAACCUACCUGCAACAGGUGAUGCAUGGCCGUCGU
rnacentral:rRNA from 1 species